CUACGGAUUUAAUCCGUAGCUAAAACUUAAUUGAUCUGUAGCUAAAAUGUACGUCUUCACCGGAACCUUAUUAGAUAUUGAUGAUGCUUAAGGGGCUCCGUGGGGCCCAUUGGAAUAUAUUUGUUUGAUCUAAGCCGCCCAUCAAUUUUGAUAUACAAUUUCAGUCAAUGAGCCUAAAAAUUAUGUAGAUUAAAGGUCUAAGUGGACCACACCAUAAGAAAUAAUAAAAAUUAAAUUUCUAUGGUUAAUAUGUUGUGUGGUAUUCUUAUAGCUUCGAUCUGACUUAUUUUUUGCAUCAAUACUUAAAAUAAUAUUUUAAAAUUAAUGGACGGAGUGGAUAAAUAAAAUACAUCACGGUGGGCCCCACGGUCCUAAAACCCAAAUGAUUUAUGGGUCGUCCGUCACGCGCCCCUCCUAAAACUAAAUGCGCCCUCUCAAAUCCAAAAUCAGUCCGCUCUUUUCUCCUGCGCGUAGCAAAGCUCCCAAAACCCAUCUCUCAAUCUCUCUCUCCAUCUCUCUCUCACACUCAGCCUCUCUAUCUCCCUAGCCCUCUCUCGAUCUCCCGCUCUCCCUCACGCACUCAGCCUCUCCAUCUUAGUCCGCCCUUUUCUCCUGCGCGUAGCAGACCUCCCAAAACCCAUCUCUCAAUCUUCAAAACCCCCAUUCACCGUAAGAAAGAGAAUAAGAAAGAGAAGGAGAAGAAGAUCUCUGUAUAGACAAACUUCAAGAUGUUCCCAUGUGAAAAUGCAUGCUCUUUGGCCCUAAGAUCGAGAGAUUCUCCAUAGAAAAAGGUUCAGAUUUGAAAAGGUGCAGUUUCAAUGACCUAUUUGAAGUAAUUUCAUCAACAUUUUCAUGAAUCCGAAACUUCAGAUUAGUUUUCCUGUCUUUUGUUUGAAUUUGUUGUAGAAUUUUGCUCAUUUUUUGUUUCUUGCUUUGCUUUGAAGUGAUUGUUCUCAUUUUUCUGGGAAAAUCAAUAUAUAGAACAGAGAAAUCUCAGUGUCAUGAAAUCAACGCUACUCUACAAUCCAAUCCAAAGAUUUUCUGAAGAAAUAAUGCAGUUUCGUUGAUGUUUUCUCGGGAUACCUCACUUUGGAGCAUUUUUAUUGUGAGCUAUGAACGGAUUUCAUUUUUCUAGAGAAUUUGAAGGAUUUCUUGGAAGGUGGAUGUUGCAUGUGGGAGGAUUGGAGCUGCAUAUUUUAGAUUCAAGCAUAUGUUGUUGUCAUACAUGAAGAUCAAUUCUUCUAUGUUUGGGUGCAUGGCGAUUGGAUCUGAAAACUUAAGAUUUUCAUUCAUUUAUUUCAUGACUUUUGGUAAGAUAUUCUUUAAUUGUUAAUUUAUUUAAUUUGAAUGGAAGAAGGAUUGAUUAUUCAAUGCAAACUCAAUUUAUGGAGAGGUGUAGUUUAGUCUAAAAAUACCUGAGCUUUCAUUUGAAAAAAAAAAAAAGGAAUUAUACUUAGUUUGAUGUUUCAUUUCUUGGCAUAUAGCUCAAAGACCUUGAUGUAAGAAGGAUGAAAAAUAAACUGGAACAACCCUAUGGGAGUUGCGGUUUGCCUCUGUAAGUUAAAAGUGCAAAGAAGAUAGAGAUUUGUUCCAAUAUAUGGGCUAUCAAUACCACAAAAGGUUAGAUUUCCCCAUAUUUGGCAUAUAGACCAACAAUAUGGGAUUUUCUCGUAUGGGAGAUACUCAGUAUAUGGG